AGAACAGACUGCUCUUACGCAACUGCUAGAAUUAAAUACCUACAACAUAGCAAUCAAAUCUGAACCUGGGCAUUACAUAAAUGUUUUGAUAGACAGGGACUGAUUAGCGAUACUCAACAUGAAUUGCGUAUGGUGAAAACAGAAAAUGCUGGCAAUUCUCACAGGACUGGUGACAUCGGCAGGAAGAGAAACAGAGUUAAUGUUCAGUUUGAAGAUCCUUCAUUGGAACUUUGCAUCCAGAUACACAAAUUGGCCCUCACAAUGCUGACUCUUUUGAAAAAGUGCCUAUGCUGCCAUCCUCAGGUCUAGUCAUUCAUUACAUCUUUAAUUCCCUGUAAGUUGAUGCUGCAGUGAUCUAUCUCCUGAACUGGCGAAUGGGAAAUCACAGAGGAGGACCACGAAUGCAAUAUGCAUGUCAUUUUAUCCUGAUUCUUACUAAUUGUAUUGUCAGCUGAUUUAGACUAUGCUAGA